CCCCAGUCAAACUCCCCACCUGCCACUGUCCACGGAGCGGGUCGCGCCCCGGGCCAAGGGGGGGAGGCGCCGCCGCCCCCGCGAAGGGGGGACGCCGGCGCCCCU